CCAGGUGUUUAAGGUGUUAGUUUUGACCUAUGUUAUAAAGCCUAAAUGGUUACCUGUGUGUCUUUGCAGGUGCCAUUCUGCUGCAGGUGCUUUCAGCAUAAGUAUUCACCAGAUGUCCUAAUAUUUUUACUUUCUCCUCAUGUGGAAGUCCUGAAGUCUUUCUAUGCCUCCAAUUCUUGCCUUUGUCUGGAUCCUUUCAGUUUCUGUGUGAUUUUUGAGUUGGAGAAUGAGGACCGCACUCAAGGACAGGAGCAUAACUGGAUCACAGGAACACUCGAACUCAGGAACCCUCAGGAAUGAUGCAGGACCCAGGAGCAAUAACACUAAGGAUCAGGAACCAAAGGUAAUUCAUUAGACCACUUGCAUCAGGAAGGACUGCCCAUAUGAUGAAGGGGGUGCAGAAUUGGGACCUAAACAAGCAACAUUCUUAACUGAAUUAAAACAAAUCUGGGGUCUGGCUGGUGCUGUGGAUUUGUAAUGGUGCAAGGAGUCUCACCAGGUUGAAUUCAGCUAAAGCUGGUAACUAUCAAAGGCUAUAUAAAAUAUACAAAUUGCAUCAGAAUAUACAAAUUGUCCCUUUUGUGUAAUACCCUAUCUCAGAUAGUGGCCAGUGCUGGAUACCUCAGGAAAAGGCAUAACCUCCAUAAGUAACAUAACUGUAUAUCGUAGAGGGUGACUUCACUUUAGUUUUAGUCAGUUUUAUACUUGUAAAGUUUCAGCCUUGAAUAUUUGAGAACUAUUUGUAUACUAGCUAACAAAAGAUAUUUUGUCACUGUGUAUCAUAUAUGUAUUCAUAUUUAUAUUGUGAUACUGCAGUAUAGAAAGAUAUCAGCCGAUCAGCAUGUAGGAAUGAUGUACAACUAUUGACACAUAACUGUACAGGUUUUUUUCCCAUGGGUGAAGUUCCCUGCACUCUAGUUGCAGGUAUGAGAAUCGCUGUACUUUGAUUGGCUGACAGCCAUUAUUAGCCAAAAUGGAGAGCUUGCAUAAUUACUAAACAGUUAUUUCUCCUUUUUUCCAUAAUUCUUCUGUUGUGACGGGCUUUUGUAUUCACAAUUUUAAAGCUGUGUGCCAGUCAUCUCAGCUUGUCACUCCUUUCAGCUAAAGCAGAAAAACUCAAAAGUAUACAUGAAAGCAAACAAAAAGGGGGUUGAGAAUCUGCUGAAAGAGCAGUUUCAAAACUCACUUCUUCCCAUCAUAGAAUCAUAGAAGAUUAGUGUUGGAAGGGACCUCAGGAGGUUAUCUAGUCCAACCCCCUGCCCAAAGCAGGACCAACCCCAACUAAAUUACCCAGCCAGGGCUUUGUCAAGCUGGGCCUUAAAAAGCUCUAAGGAUGGAGAUUCCACCACUUCCCUAAGUAACCCAUUCCAGUGUGUCACCACCCUGCUAGUGAAAUAGUUUUUCCUAAUAUCCAACCUAGACCUCCCCCACUGCAAUUUGAGACCAUUGCUCCUUGUUCCGUCAUCUGCCACCACUGAAAACAGCCUAGCUCCAUUCUCUUUGGAACCCCCCUUCAGGUAGUUGAAGGCUGCUGUCAAAUCCCCCCUCACUCUUCUCUUCUGCAGACUAAAUAAAACCAGAGCCCUCAGCCUCUUCUCA
rnacentral:lncRNA from 1 species